GCCCCUAUAGCUCAGCUGGUAGAGCGUCUGAUUUGUAAUCAGAGGGUCGGGAGUUCGAGUCUCUCUGGGGGCACCA
rnacentral:tRNA from 9 species